rnacentral:sRNA from 1 species
CGGCAGCUGCGCCGCCAAGCCCGGGCCCAGCCCGCGGCCACCACUCACUCGGCAGCGCCUCACACACUGCCUCCCCCCCUCCCCGGGGGGAAGGCUUUUUAAUUUAUUUAUUCUGCUGGGACUGAGGUGGGGGGCUCGGCUGGCGGGGGAGAGGGGGGUCUCCACGGCUUCUACCUCCCCCGCGGCUGGGGCUACCCUUCGAGCUACGGAACACUCCACGGUGUGCGCCCCCAGGGCCUCCCAAACUGUUUCUAAACUGCCCAGACCGGAGGUGGACGCGUGGAGGCUCGGCGAAAGGGCUGGGUUUCGAGUGGGGUGAUUGUGUGUGUUCGACUACUAGGAGCCUGGGGAGGGAGGCAGACGUCGACCCCAAACGAGUUGCAAUCGAGGUAUCUCCGAUCCCGCUUCCUCUUCGGCCCGCACACCCCCUCCCUCCCUGGAGCUGUGCUGGGGAGGGGAAACCAAGAUUUGGAAGCACCUUAGCCUUCACAUUCCUGGGAGGAUACAGCCCUCGCCUGGAACUGGAAGAUAGCUCUUUAUUUUUUUCCUUUUUUCCUCUCUUUUUAUUUUUGGAGGGGAUCGCCCAGUGAUUGUCUUGAACACAUGCUUCUUCCUCCCUCCUUCCUCCAGCCACCAGCGACGGAGAGUCCCCUUUUUUGCAUUUAUCAUUUUCCUUCCCCUUUCUUUAUUAAAGGUCCGGGAGUGGCGGCGGCCAAUCAGCGCUCGGCUUCCAUUUUGUGAGUGCAACUCUGAGGCUUCCCCGGCUUUCGCGUGGAUCUGUUUGCAGACCUCUCGGUCUCUCUUUUGGGCUGCCGAGGCGAAGCAGCCGCCUCGCCGGGGCUUCGUGGUGGUGUAUUUCAUAUUGGGGCUCUUUUUCGGGGUUUGUAAUUUGGCCGUGGGUAGGUAAUUGGCUGGAGCAGGGCGGCAGGGCGCGGCAGCCAAUCAGCACGCGGCUUCUAUAGGGCUUGAGUUAUUAGACGCUGAUCUCAAAACAUCCUUCAUCAGACUCCAAGGAGAGGCCAACAGAUGAGGGGAGCCAUUUUUCUGCAAUGGAAUUAAAUGGCCAAGUGGGUUUUUCCUUUGUUGCAAAUGGGGAAUGCUUUUCCUUUGACUCCACCAUCCAGUUCAGGACGCCUGAAUGUGUUUAACAUUUGCCAAAGGACUCACACUUGGAAGAAUGAAGAAGACCUUUUAAAAAGAUCUGGAUCUUUCCUUAUGACUUGGAAUCCAUCUUUGUCUUGUAUAACUAGGUCAUAGCACACUAUUAAUGUCAGCAGUUAACAGUUUUGAAUUCAAAAAAACCUAAGUAAAUGACAUAUUUAAUUUUUUUCCUCUUUUUUUCUUGGGUGGGUGGAGGGGAGAGCUUGGAGCUGUCUUAAUCUGUAUUCUCUUGACUGAACAAUAAAUUUUUAAAUAUAGUUUCCUCUAUUAAACACUUAAGCCUGACCAUCUUAUUAACUCUUUUUUAACAAGGUAAUGUUUUAAAUGUAUAGUUGUAGCGAAAUGGCAACAAUAACAAAAAUCUGUGAGCUGUUGUUACUGUUAAGUUUUCUAAAAACCUUUUACAUUGUAAGUACCCAAUCCAUUCUGUCCUUACUGCACUUGAGUUUUCGUGUUACUGUCGCCUGAGAUGAACUGAAUUUUCGGAACCUUCAUCUGCAUGUGUUGUCUUUGUCUCUGUCUGAUGUAAGUCAGUUAAAAUGCUUUUAGACCUUUGCUUCUAUAAAAAUACGAUUUUUUUAGCUUCAAGCUUUUUGGGGGAAAAAAUGUUUACAGCAAUAGUUGCUAUUCAGAUUUCUUCCCAGUAGCUCUUAACACUUUCUUUGAAAAUCGAUCUAUUUGAAGAAAAACAGCUGUUUUUCUCGACUUGGGUGUGGGGUGGUGGAGGGUGAAAGAAAGGAAGACCUUUUGUAUAAAAAAACUGAAAGCCGUCACUGAAAAUUAGAUUAAAACUGGACAAAAAGCCCUAGCCGGUUCAAGCCAAACACCUACGUUAACUCGGUGGUAUUUUCUCUGUCGGUUGGGAUGGCUGGUGAGCUAUUUUGCCUUUUGUUUGAUUUGACUGUGUUUUUGCCUUUUGUUUCUUAAUGAUGAUCACACCAUUGGUAAAUCCAGAGCAGUAAACAGUCCUCAGCGAAGCCGCCUUUUUGCCAGCCCAACCCUGGAAAGUUUGCAGUCGUGGAAGGAGCAGAAAUACCAUGAGUGUAACUUACAAAAAGCUUUUUCUUCUAGACUCCAUGGCACCGGGCUGAGCCGGUCUUGGCCGGAGACCGGAGCAAUGUCUGUGUUGUCCCCACAGUAGACACUCCUUGCUUCCUCUGGACAACUGGAGCAGGCCUAGUUUGACUGACAAGCCUUCCCACUAAGGUAGGUAAGAGCCCUUUCCCGAGUUGAGAGAACUGACUCUGGGAGCUUUGACCUGCGGCCUUCGAAGCGCUGGUUGUGAUCCCCAAACCCGCUGGGCUGGUUCUGCAGCCCCUCCCCCACGCUGAUGUGGCUGAUGUGGCGGUUGUGUGUGUGAAAUGGGCGGCCUGCUGGGUCCAUCCAGCCCCGCCUGUCAGCUUCUGCUGUCGGGCGUUUAGGGCGGGCGAUUCUCUUGCCGAAUUUAGCAGCUUACUAGAGCAGGACUACGAAGUAUUUCCCAGUGGUGUGUUUUAUGGUGGGUGGGAGGGCCCUGGAAGCUUCUGAAGACAGAGACUGCUGUCAGACUUGCCAAUGGUGCUUCAGACAGUCUUCCUGAACCCCAUUGGGGUGACCAAAUGAGCCACCUUCUGAUGUCUGGCUUGCUGGAUAGACAAAGAACCAAAGACCUGAAGUGUUAUCCAGCUUCCCGGGGGGAAAAGAUUUCCUUGGCUUCUCCUUUUCCCGGAUCCUCCUGUCAACAAGGCCAGGUGUUGCUAGCUUGGUGUCUAGAAUGUGUCAAAGCUGGACAGGAAAGUAGGCUGGCCCUUAACCUGUCCGUAAUGACCUUACAUAUUCUGAGCAGAGUCUGCCCAACUGCACCGGCAUCAGAAGUCAGUGGUGGAACCCAUUGACCCUGACCGUGCCUGUCUCUCGGGUUUCUUCUCUUUUUAGACAGUACAUCUAAGAAUUUGCACUUCUUACAAGGCCCCAGGUACUGUCAGGUUUCUAGAUUCCUAGUAAGUGACACCUGGGAUGUUGCCCGGCUUGGUGGCUAGCAGUUGGCUUGCCCUCCUCCCAGGCAGGAAGCUUCGCGGCUGAAAUCCGUGUGGCCCUUGAUCUCUGACCCUUGCCCCCCUAGUGUGUUUCUCGUUACGUUACUUUGAUAAGCCAUUUGGCCGCAGGUGUCGCGGAUCCUGCUGGCUUCCCCGGUUAGGGCCUCAGCAUCCAGCCUCUUGUCUUCCCUUUACCCCUCACCCCUACAGUGAGUACUGACGUGUGGGUUAGGGAGCCUGGAAGGCUUCCGAACUGCGUUGUUGUCGGAGGUGUCUUGGUGCCUUGAAUCAGGGAUGCUUCAAGCCUGGCAACUGUAGGCUAGAUGUGGCCCAAGCUAGUGACCUUGGACCAGUGUCUCUCUCCCUCCCCACCCCCGUGGAGGAAAAAAAAAAAAAAAGCCCACAAUACCUGCUGGAAAAGGUUGGUGGGAGGAUUAAGUGAGAUUAAGGGGGCCAGACGCCUGCUCUGACCUCACAACCAGUUGGCCUCCAUUGUGAUAAGUACUGUUGCUGGGAGUGGCUGCUGGCUGCGCGGGUGGGGGCUGGGCUGUAUCCCCGGCUCCUCCCCGCCAGCCCACUUCCUGAAGCACGUGCUGGAGCCUCCAGGCAAAGGAGAAAGAAAACUGGCUCUGCUUGGGAAGGCAGCCAGCCCUGUUUUUCUUCCAGUGUUUGAGUCCAGCCUGUUCCCGGGCUCGAUGAGCUGUUCUUUGGUUGGGUCAUGAUUUUAAGGGCCACCCACCAAUGGCCCCAAGAGAAGAAAUGUCUCACCCAAGGUUAUGAGGCCACGACAGACAGAACGUGGACAGGGUUCCAGGUGUCUUGAUUUUCAGCCCAGAGCCUGGGCCCAUGACACCCCCUUGCCCAGCUGUCUGGGUUAUUUUAGGCUCCCUCCCGUGCCAGCUGUCUGCUUUUAUCACUGCCAGAGAGCUGUCUGGUAACAAGGAACCACAAUGGUCCUGUGGCUCCUGCCGGUACAGAGGGCCAGGCAUGAAGUCUGCGGAUGAGCCGGCUUUAUGCUGGGAAGGCGAACUCCUCACCCCAAUUGGGGGGGAGGGGAGAAAAGCGCUUUCCUAAGUUGAUUUCGUUCGUACUACAGAUACCCUAGAAGCCUUCUAAUACACUUGAUCUACCCACGGGCUCUGGUUAGAGUCCUUGGGUCUGGGGUCUUUAUCUCCUCCCGCCGCAAACUAAUUGAUUUAAGUCGCGAUGUAGCAGCUGUACCCCUGAGGGCUACAGGCUUUAGGGAUCAAUUAGGCGCUAAACUGGGAUGUGUUUGAAAGGGGAAGAUGGAAGUGAUCGGGCCAACUUGUGACUGUCGCUACUUGACGCUUUUUCACCUCCCUUUCUCCUUUUUUGGCACCCUUAUCACCCCCUGGGCAGUAGGGUGGGGCAGUUUGUCCUGCUGUUGUUCCUGGCCCCGAGAGGUGCCACGCCUACUGGUCACCCACUGAGCUUGGGGCGGGGCUGCUUUGGCCUGCGGAGAGAGGGCCACGCCAGCGGAAGGCUUGCCUGAACCGGGAGGUGCCUGGACUAGCUUUACUACACAGAUUCCAGUGUCCCCGCCCCUUCCGGCUCCUCCACCUGGCCUGGAGCCCAAGUUUGGAAUAUGACCUUUUAGACUCUCUGAGCAACCGAGAUGGGUCGAAAAACCCGCCAUCACCGCUCUCCGGCCCCCCGUGUUUUCUCCGAUUGUUCCGUGCCCUCAGGCGAGUUCUUGCCGUAGGGAACCAGGAGGGGAACGUUAAACAAAAACUUCUUGAGCUAUUUCUAAAAUUUUCGUGUGAUGGAGGAGGGUCUUGCCGUGCCCGGACUAGCCCUAGUGACAGCUUAGAACCGUAGGUACACUCCUCUGCACCAGCGUUAGCUGAUUUUCAGCCUGGCUUCCAGACGUGACUUGCCCAUCCUCCGCUCAGUCCUUAGAGCUGCUGCUAGGCAGCUGAGACCUGGAGGGAGACUGCCGAGUUAGGUAGAUAAGAUAGCCUGCACCCUAGGCAGCCCGGCUUCACCCCUCUACUUUAUCUCUAGGCUCUAGCUGGAGUCUAUCUCCACCUCGUAUCUGUACCAUCUGCAUUUGGAUAGCUCAAUAAUUGAUUUAUGGAGCCUCUGAGAAAGGGGAGUGGAGGCUUCAGCCUCCCCCACCCCAAUUUGUACUUUGUCCUGAACGACGGCCGUUAGUGUGCCUCUGCUCCCCUGGAUCUGUGGUUUAGUCUUCCCAGUGACCACCUGGCAGCUCCCUGAGGGGUUUUGAAGCAAGAACCAGUGGAAGGAAUUUUUUGCUUUCCUAUGCUCUCCAGGAAUUCCUGGACAAUCAGAGUGACCCAGGCCCCCCAGAACAUCUUGCAGAUGAGGGAGUAAGCCACCCUGAGUGGGUGAGUGUGUGUAUCUCCUCAGCUGGGCCGGCUUGGCCCUGCCUGACCUCUGAGGAGGCUCUCAGAAGCAGCUGGCUGGAUUCCUAGGUAUUUUUAGCUACAGAUUUAGCCCCACCAUCACCACGAGCUGAGUCCAGAUCCAACACUCUAGGCCUGGUAGUGCUGGGGCUCUGCCAGCCUCCUGCUGAGGUGGAGCUGGGUGGGUAGGCAGGCUGGAACCGGUGGCAGUGUGCUGCCUGAACCCACCGGAGCCAGAACUAUUCGCUUCUCGUCAUUUCCUCCAUGCAGCUUCCUGCAGACUUGCUCUGUCACCGAGGCUGGAGAGUGGAGAUGCAGGGCUGGGGAAUUUGUGGGAAGCCAGGAGCCCUCUCUUGGUUAUACGUAGUAGAACAAGUUCUUUUUCUUAGAAGUGAAUUUUCCCCACUGGCAAACGCAGCCAGUCAGUCUCCUGAGUCAAGAGCCAAGCCAAAAGACACCCCAGAGAAGAAACCUGGGGUCCUGCAAAGGUAAGCGGUUCCCAACUUACUCCAAAUCUUCCUCUCUUUGUACCAUUUUUAUUCCAAUGGCCUGCUCUUCUUCUGAGGAACCCCACCACCUCUGGCAUAUCAAUGGAAAUUGUCCUGGUUCUUUACUUUUUUUUCUGCCGCCCUCAUGAGCCACUAAGAGAUAGCCUAGCCCUUCCUCCCCUUGACAGGACUCGGUUGAGUCUUGUCUGUUGUGUUUCUUUGCAGCCCUCCUCCCCCCUUCAACCAGCACUUAGGCCCUCCCUGAUUUAGCCCGUUACCUUGACAACCACUUGGGCCUGUCUCCCUUAUCGCCACUGAAAACCUGAAGGUUUUCCAGCUGUGGUACAUUUGCCCGAGUUGGGCACCCCUCCAGCGUCUAUUGGCUCGCCCUCCGUGCUGUAGCCAAUAUAACAAACACAACCUUCCCGGUCCCUCAGCUGUGGUCUCGAAAUUGAUCUCACUGGUCCCGGGAACUCCCAUCACCUCCUCCAGACUGAGCUCCUCACAGGCGGGAACAUGGUUGUUUCUCAAUAAACAAGUUGAAAAAGGAA